rnacentral:rRNA from 1 species
AUUGAACGCUGGCGGCAGGCCUAACACAUGCAAGUCGAACGAGUGGCGGACGGGUGAGUAAUGUCUGGGAAACUGCCUGAUGGAGGGGGAUAACUACUGGAAACGGUAGCUAAUACCGCAUACCAUCGGAUGUGCCCAGAUGGGAUUAGCUAGUAGGUGGGGUAAAGGCUCACCGAGGCGACGAUCCCUAGCUGGUCUGAGAGGAUGACCGUCAACACUGGAACUGAGACACGGGCCAGACUCUUACGGGAGGCAGCAGUGGGGAAUAUUGCACAAUGGGCGCAAGCCUGAUACAGCCAUGCCGCGUGUAUGAAGAAGGCCUUCGGGUUGUAAAGUACUUUCAGCGGGGAGGCGUUACCAGCAGAAGAAGCACCGGCUAACUCCGUGCCAGCCGCCGCGGUAAUAC